AGGCAUCUCUGGUGCUUUCUUGGCUCUGUGAUUCAUGCCAGAUAUACAUAUAAUCAUUUUUAGUUUGACGGUGACUGUGCUUUAGGUUAGUCAAAGGACAUGGAUAUUUUAAAUUAACACGUGAUGUUAAACUAUACUAUAAGGCUUUAAGAUGGUUCUAAUAAAAUUUGUUUAUGAUAAUCUUUUCUUGAUCUGUGAAAUUUCAUCUAUGCUCAAAUGUUUGGUUUUUAUUCUGUUUUUAGUACUUGAAAUCUAGCCGAUUAACUGUUGAGUUCAUAAUAAUUGGAAAGGAGUCGAAUGCUUCGGGUUGACUUUGCAUUGUCACAACAUGGCUUAAAACUAUGCUCUGCUGAUUGGUUGUAUUUUUUGACCUUCAUUCAGUAAUUCCAUGCAAAUUUGAAAGAUCGUUCAAAGGAGACACAACAUUAUCUACCUGCGUGCUCCCUACCAGUGGUGCCCCUUGAAGUAAUACCGGGUUGUCAUGUGCUUCUUCCUUAAGAUUCAGAAUACUGGGAUGUGAUGUAACUUGAAGUUCAGGUUCUAAUAAAUAUUUGCCUUGAUCAAAGCAAAGCAGUUAUGAAGUUGAUACCCAUUUUGUUAGAAUAUCCAGCUUCGGUGAAAGGACCGGAAGCUAACCACAUUCUUUUGGGGCGCCUGUUUGGCUUUGGAUCACUUGCAAGGUCUUGGAGAUUUCAAGAUAGUGGACACGGGUCACAUCUUCCGUUGUUAUGAAGGAUUUUGUUGCUGAAGUUAUACAACUUGGUCGUAGGUGGCUCUAUGGUGUUCUGGUCUUGCGAGCUUGUGGUAGGCCAGUGCAGAAAAGGUGUGCUGCAAUGCCAGCAUGCAGCCGGCGGCCGUCGAGGAAACUCAAGCACACUUGCCUCUUCUACUGUACACCUAGGUUAAUCAUAUAAUUCUUACAUAGAUAUUUCAGAAGCAUAUCACAGGAUUUCUCCGCUUGAACUGGGAAUGAUAAAUCUCCGCAGAUGUAUUUCUUCUUUGUUCCCAUAUAUCGAGUCGUCCAAGAUUGACCUAUUAAUUAGACUUACGGAGUUUUUGAGUAGGUGCACUAUUUUUUUACAGGCCAGCUGUUAAAUGGAGGUUGUCAAAAUUAUAACCAAUGUCAUGAUCCAGGUCAUGUUCCAUGCUCCAGGACAUGCUGAAGAAACUGCAACUGCCCAAUCAAAUAACAGUCAGAGCACAAGAUAUAUGGUUUUGAGUGAAAGGAAAAUACUGAAAAACUAUAGCCAGAAUGGGCUUGUCAUUGAAGAUUAUGCUACCGCUUCUAUGUACAAUAUAUUUCUCUAUUUUUUCUUUACGUCUAUUUAUUACUAAUUACUACUUAUUAUCGGCUUGUAUUGUUUAAUUGAUCUGUGUAAUUUUGUGCUGGUCCCAGUUAUUAAGUCAACUACAUUCUCUUUGUUC